AAGUCGUAACAAGGUUUCCGUAGGUGAACCUGCGGAAGGAUCAUUCUUGUAUCAAUUCAUUGUGAAGUUUACCUUCUCAAUAACUUACUUUGUGAACUGUCUCAGGCGUGCUUUGUUGCUGGAUGUCUGUUGUUGGCGCGUCAGCUGCAAGGCUGGCCGUCAAUGCGCGCCGGCAACAAGGCUGCCAUUGUUUAUUACUCAUCUUCUAUAUACUAUUUGUCUAAUUUAUAUAUUUAAACCAAAUACAACUUUUAGCAACGGAUCUCUAGGCUCUC
rnacentral:misc_RNA from 1 species